UACGGAGGGAGCUAGCGUUGUUCGGAAUUACUGGGCGUAAAGCGCGCGUAGGCGGCUUUGUAAGUUAGAGGUGAAAGCCCGGGGCUCAACCCCGGAACUGCCUUUAAGACUGCAUCGCUUGAAUCCGGGAGAGGUGAGUGGAAUUCCGAGUGUAGAGGUGAAAUUCGUAGAUAUUCGGAAGAACACCAGUGGCGAAGGCGACUCACUGGACCGGUAUUGACGCUGAGACGCGAAAGCGUGGGGAGCAAACAGG
rnacentral:rRNA from 1 species